rnacentral:rRNA from 1 species
GUCUUUUUGUAAAUAAUUUAAAGUCUAGCCUGCCCAAUGAAAAUUUAAAUGGCCGCGGUAUUUUGACUGUGCUAAGGUAGCAUAAUCAUUAGUUUUUUAAUUAGAAGCUGGAAUGAAGGGUUGAAUGAAAAAUUAACUGUCUCUGAUUAAUUUGAUUAGAAUUUUAUUUUUAAGUUAAAAAGCUUAAAUAUUUUUAAAAGACGAGAAGACCCUAUAGAGUUUAAUAUAUAAAAUUUAUAAUUAAAUUUAGUAUUAAAUUUAAAGUAGUAGUUAUAUAUUUAAUUGGGGUGAUUUAAAAAUUUAUGAAACUUUUUAUUUAUGUUAAUAUUAAUUAAUAAAUUUAUGAUCCAAAAAUUUUGAUUAAAAGUUAAAUUACCUUAGGGAUAACAGCGUAAUUUUAUUAAAGAGUUCUAAUCGAAAAUAAAGUUUGCGA